AUGCAUAAAGGCGGGAGGCUGCCCAUCUCCCUUCGGGGCUGCUCUCAGGGUUCGUGGGGAUCUGGGCUGAGUCCGGGCUAUCCGGAGAGGGUAGCGCUAGUUUUUGUCCUGAGCCUCCGGGCUGUGAGCAACAACCCUCUGUAUUUUGGAGGGGGCACUCGGCUGUUGGUGCUAGACACGCAGUACUUCGGCGCGGGCACCCGGCUGACGGUGCUAGGUGAGCCGGGAAGCUGCUGGGGACCCCGGGGGAUGCGCGGAGGGUUUUUGCGCGAGGCUGGGGGGCCUGUCCGCCGGCUGGCCGCGGGCGGCGGGCGGGACGGGAGGCGGCGGGGUCAGGGCGGGUUGGAUCCGGGCACUUGGUCCCCUCCCUGCCCUGGAGCUGAGCGCUGGGACAGGGGAAGCGAGCGGGAGCCGCUGGGAGCUGCGGGAGGGUUUGAGUGCGGGGCUCUUCUUCCGUGUUCCUAUGAGCAGUAUUUCGGCCCAGGCACCAAGCUCACGGUCGUAGAUGAUCUGAGCCGGGUCUACCCGCCCAAGGUGGCUGUGUUCGAACCCUCGGAGGCAGAGAUCUCCCGGACCCAGAAGGCCACACUCGUGUGCCUGGCCACGGGCUUCUACCCCGACCAUGUGGAGCUGACCUGGUGGGUGAACAGGAAGCAGGUCACGACUGGGGUCAGCACGGACCCUGAGCCCUAUAAGGAGGACCCCACACAGGAUGAUUCCAGAUACUGUCUGAGCAGCCGGCUGAGGGUGACCGCCGCCUUCUGGCACAACCCCCGCAACCACUUCCGAUGCCAAGUCCAGUUCCAUGGGCUCACGGACCAGGACCAGUGGGAGGAACAGGACAGGGACAAGCCCGUCACCCAGAACAUCAGCGCUGAGGCCUGGGGCAGAGCAGACUGUGGCGUCACCUCCGCAUCUUAUCAGCAAGGGGUCCUGUCUGCCACCCUCCUCUAUGAGAUCCUGCUGGGGAAGGCCACCCUGUACGCUGUGCUGGUCAGCGCCCUGGUGCUGAUGGCCAUGGUUAAGAAAAAGGAUUCCUGAAACCAGCUCCAAAAGUGCAUCCCGAGUCAUUCUUUAUCAUGGCCCUGGAUUCUCCUUAAUGUCUUUCCAGUCUGUGUUCCUCAAGAGUUUCUCUCUCUGUCUCUCAUGUCCUUCCUUUACAGAUGUCUGCCCCUUCUCUCAGCUUCCCUGCAGGUGGAGUGCUGUACUCCGAACCUGAAAUUGACUGAAUCAAUAAAAGUGUCGUGAUGGGCUUGAUUGUG